GUGGGGAAGACGUCAAGUCAUCAUGGCCCUUACAACCAGGGUUACACACGUGGUACAAUGGCGCAUACAAAGAGAAGCGACCUCGCGAGAGCAAGCGGACCUCAAAAAGUGCGUCGUAGUCCGGAUUGGAGUCUGCAACUCGACUCCAUGAAGUCGGAAUCGCUAGUAAUCGUGGAUCAGAAGGCCACGGUGAAUACUUGCCGGGCCUGUACACUCCGCCCGCACACCAUGGGAGGGGUGCAAAGAGUUAGAGU
rnacentral:rRNA from 1 species